GAUAAGAAUGUCCUGGAUAGUGACGAU
rnacentral:piRNA from 1 species